rnacentral:rRNA from 1 species
CAGUCGAACGAAGCACUUUAUUUGAUUUCCUUCGGGACUGAUUAUUUUGUCACUGAGUGGCGGACGGGUGAGUAACGCGUGGGUAACCUGCCUUGUACAGGGGGAUAACAGUUGGAAACGGCUGCUAAUACCGCAUAAGCGCACAGCAUCGCAUGAUGCAGUGUGAAAAACUCCGGUGGUAUAAGAUGGACCCGCGUUGGAUUAGCUAGUUGGUGAGGUAACGGCCCACCAAGGCGACGAUCCAUAGCCGACCUGAGAGGGUGACCGGCCACAUUGGGACUGAGACACGGCCCAAACUCCUACGGGAGGCAGCAGUGGGGAAUAUUGCACAAUGGGCGAAAGCCUGAUGCAGCGACGCCGCGUGAGCGAAGAAGUAUUUCGGUAUGUAAAGCUCUAUCAGCAGGGAAGAUAAUGACGGUACCUGACUAAGAAGCACCGGCUAAAUACGUGCCAGCAGCCGCGGUAAUACGUAUGGUGCAAGCGUUAUCCGGAUUUACUGGGUGUAAAGGGAGCGCAGGCGGUGCGGCAAGUCUGAUGUGAAAGCCCGGGGCUCAACCCCGGUACUGCAUUGGAAACUGUCGUACUAGAGUGUCGGAGGGGUAAGCGGAAUUCCUAGUGUAGCGGUGAAAUGCGUAGAUAUUAGGAGGAACACCAGUGGCGAAGGCGGCUUACUGGACGAUAACUGACGCUGAGGCUCGAAAGCGUGGGGAGCAAACAGGAUUAGAUACCCUGGUAGUCCACGCCGUGAACGAUGAAUACUAGGUGUUGG